UUCGUCACACUAUCAUUAACUGAAUCCAUAGGUUAAUGAGGCGAACCGGGGGAACUGAAACAUCUAAGUACCCCGAGGAAAAGAAAUCAACCGAGAUUCCCCCAGUAGCGGCGAGCGAACGGGGAGCAGCCCAGAGCCUGAAUCAGUGUGUGUGUUAGUGGAAGCGUCUGGAAAGGCGCGCGAUACAGGGUGACAGCCCCGUACACAAAAAUGCACAUGCUGUGAGCUCGAUGAGUAGGGCGGGACACGUGGUAUCCUGUCUGAAUAUGGGGGGACCAUCCUCCAAGGCUAAAUACUCCUGACUGACCGAUAGUGAACCAGUACCGUGAGGGAAAGGCGAAAAGAACCCCGGCGAGGGGAGUGAAAAAGAACCUGAAACCGUGUACGUACAAGCAGUGGGAGCACGCUUAGGCGUGUGACUGCGUACCUUUUGUAUAAUGGGUCAGCGACUUAUAUUCUGUAGCAAGGUUAACCGAAUAGGGGAGCCGAAGGGAAACCGAGUCUUAACUGGGCGUUAAGUUGCAGGGUAUAGACCCGAAACCCGGUGAUCUAGCCAUGGGCAGGUUGAAGGUUGGGUAACACUAACUGGAGGACCGAACCGACUAAUGUUGAAAAAUUAGCGGAUGACUUGUGGCUGGGGGUGAAAGGCCAAUCAAACCGGGAGAUAGCUGGUUCUCCCCGAAAGCUAUUUAGGUAGCGCCUCGUGAAUUCAUCUCCGGGGGUAGAGCACUGUUUCGGCAAGGGGGUCAUCCCGA
rnacentral:rRNA from 1 species